rnacentral:rRNA from 1 species
UACGGAGGGUGCAAGCAUUGAUCGGAAUUACUGGGCGUAAAGGGCGCGUAGGCGGCUUGACAAGUCAGAUGUGAAAUUCCGGGGCUCAACCCCGGAGCUGCAUUUGAAACUAUCGAGCUAGUGGCUAGUAAGGGAAAACAGAAUUCCACGUGUAGCGGUGAAAUGCGUAGAUAUGUGGAAGAAUACCGGUGGUGAAGACGGUUUUCUGUGCUAAGCCAGACGCUGAGGCGCGAAAGCUAGGGGAGCAAACGGGG